rnacentral:rRNA from 1 species
UACGUAGGGGGCGAGCGUUGUCCGGAUUUAUUGGGCGUAAAGAGCGUGUAGGUGGCUAGGUAGGUCUUGCGUCAAAACCUGCGGCUCAACCGCAGUUCGCGUGGGAAACCCCCUGGCUCGAGUCCGGAAGAGGAGAGCGGAAUUCAUGGUGUAGCGGUGAAAUGCGCAGAUAUCAUGAAGAACACCAGUGGCGAAGGCGGCUCUCUGGGACGGUACUGACACUGAGACGCGAAAGCGUGGGGAGCGAACAGG